CGGCGUGCUCAACACAUGCAAGUCGAACGAUGAAGCCUUUCGGGGUGGAUUAGUGGCGAACGGGUGAGUAACACGUGGGCAAUCUGCCCUUCACUCUGGGACAAGCCCUGGAAACGGGGUCUAAUACCGGAUAACACUCUGUCCCGCAUGGGACGGGGUUAAAAGCUCCGGCGGUGAAGGAUGAGCCCGCGGCCUAUCAGCUUGUUGGUGGGGUGAUGGCCUACCAAGGCGACGACGGGUAGCCGGCCUGAGAGGGCGACCGGCCACACUGGGACUGAGACACGGCCCAGACUCCUACGGGAGGCAGCAGUGGGGAAUAUUGCACAAUGGGCGAAAGCCUGAUGCA
rnacentral:rRNA from 1 species